rfam:[Clostridium] litorale DSM 5388 strain W6 CLIT_10c, whole genome shotgun sequence.
CUCUUAUCAAGAGCGGCGGAGGGACAGGCCCUGUGAAGCCCGGCAACAGCCAGCACCAUGCUGGAAAUGUGCUAAUUCCUGCAGUAGUAUUACUACUGAAAGAUGAGAU